AGCUCAGCACUGGGUAUAAAGCGUGCGCAGGCGGCUAUGCAAGACAGAUGUGAAAUCCCCGGGCUCAACCUGGGAACUGCAUUUGUGACUGCAUGGCUAGAGUACGGUAGAGGGGGAUGGAAUUCCGCGUGUAGCAGUGAAAUGCGUAGAUAUGCGGAGGAACACCGAUGGCGAAGGCAAUCCCCUGGACCUGUACUGACGCUCAUGCACGAAAGCGUGGGGAGCAAACAGGAUUAGAUACCCUGGUAGUCCACGCCCUAAACGAUGUCAACUGGUUGUUGGACGGCUUGCUGUUCAGUAACGAAGCUAACGCGUGAAGUUGACCGCCUGGGGAGUACGGCCGCAAGGUUGAAACUUAAAGGAAUUGACGG
rnacentral:rRNA from 1 species